UCUUCGGAGAUAGUAAGGUGGCGGACGGGUGAGUAACACGUAAAGACUUGCCCUGCCGCCUGGGACAACUACUGGAAACGGUAGCUAAUACCGGAUAUUGCCGCAUGGCGAAAGCUAUAUGCGCUGCAGGAGAGCUUUGCGUCCCAUUAGUUAGUUGGUGAGGUAACGGCUCACCAAGACCGCGAUGGGUAGCCGGCCUGAGAGGGUGAACGGCCACAAGGGGACUGAGACACGGCCCUUACUCCUACGGGAGGCAGCAGUGGGGAAUAUUGGACAAUGGACCAAAGUCUGAUCCAGCAAUUCUGUGUGCACGAUGACGGUCUUAGGAUUGUAAAGUGCUUUCAAUCGGGAAAAAGAAAGUGAUGGUACCGAUAGAAGAAGCGACGGCUAAAUACGUGCCAGCAGCCGCGGUAAUACGUAUGUCGCAAGCGUUAUCCGGAUUUAUUGGGCGUAAAGCGCGUCUAGGCGGUUUGGUAAGUCUGAUGUGGAAAUGCGGGGCUCAACUCCGUAUUGCGUUGGAAACUGCCAGACUAGAGUACUGGAGAGGUGGGCGGAACUACAAGUGUAGAGGUGAAAUUCGUAGAUAUUUGUAGGAAUGCCGAUAGAGAAG
rnacentral:rRNA from 1 species